UACCAGCACCCCGAGUGGUCGGGACGAUUAUUGGGCCUAAAGCAUCCGUAGCCGGUUUUACAAGUCCUCCGUUAAAUCCAACUGCUUAACAGAUGGGCCGCGGAGGAUACUAUAAGACUAGGAGGCAGGAGAGGCAAGCGGUACUCAGUGGGUAGGGGUAAAAUCCGUUGAUCCAUUGAAGACCACCAGUGGCGAAGGCGGCUUGCCAGAAUGCGCUCGACGGUGAGGGAUGAAAGCUGGGGGAGCAAACGGG
rnacentral:rRNA from 1 species